rnacentral:misc_RNA from 1 species
GGUCAGUGAUAGUAGUUUGCAAAAGGAAUUUUCAAGUUUUGGUGAAAUAGCUGAAGUUAAGCUUGUCAAAGAUGAAAUCACAAAGAGACCUAAAGCAUAUGCAUUUAUUCAAUAUACUUGUCAAGAUGAUGCCAUUCUAGCACUGGAGAAUAUGGACCAAAAGAUAUUUGAUGGCAGAUUGAUUUAUGUUGAACUUGCCAAACCUGGGAAAGGAAGUUUUGAAGGAUACCCAAAAGCCUCAGGUCCUCCAAAGCAGCAUUUGCAGGAAAAAGAUGAGGUUGCAGAUUGCUGGUACUGAUCAAAUUCAUUUUGAUAACUUGAAGUCACUGAAGUAGGAAAAAUUGUAAUUCAAGGAACGGGGCAAAAUGGAGUGCUACUGCUCAUAUAGAAUUGUUUCAAGAAAUCUGCAACCGAUAACAUAUCAUCUUGAAGCCACAUCAGAUCACCGC